CUGCGAGUGAUAAGAUCCGUAGUCGAAAGGGAAACAGCCCAGACCACCAGUUAAGGUCCCCAAAUAUAUGUUAAGUGGAAAAGGAUGUGGGGUUGCUUAGACAACCAGGAUGUUGGCUUAGAAGCAGCCACCAUUGAAAGAGUGCGUAAUAGCUCACUGGUCGAGUGACCCCGCGCCGAAAAUGUACCGGGGCUAAACAUAUUACCGAAACUGUGGAUGAACCUCUUUAGAGGUUCGUGGUAGGAGAGCGUUCUAAGGGCGGUGAAGUCAGACCGGAAGGACUGGUGGAGCGCUUAGAAGUGAGAAUGCCGGUAUGAGUAGCGAAAGAAGGGUGAGAAUCCCUUCCACCGAAUAUCUAAGGUUUCCUGAGGAAGGCUCGUCCGCUCAGGGUUAGUCGGGACCUAAGCCGAGGCCGAUAGGCGUAGGCGAUGGACAACAGGUAGAGAUUCCUGUACCAGUGCUAAUUGUUUAACCGAUGGGGUGACACAGAAGGAUAGGGAAUCGCACGAAUGGAAAUGUGCGUCCAAGCAGUGAGUGUGAGAAGUAGGCAAAUCCGCUUCUCGCGAAGCAUGAGCUGUGAUGGGGAAGGAAAUUAAGUACGGAAGUUCCUGAUUUCACGCUGUCAAGAAAAGCCUCUAGGAAGAGUAGUACUGCCCGUACCGCAAACCGACACAGGUAGAUGAGGAGAGAAUCCUAAGGUGAGCGAGAGAACUCUCGUUAAGGAACUCGGCAAAAUGACCCCGUAACUUCGGGAGAAGGGGUGCUCUAUUAGGGUGCAAGCCCGAGAGAGCCGCAGUGAAUAGGCCCAGGCGACUGUUUAGCAAAAACACAGGUCUCUGCAAAACCGUAAGGUGACGUAUAGGGGCUGACGCCUGCCCGGUGCUGGAAGGUUAAGAGGAGUGCUUAGCUUCGGCGAAGGUACGAAUUGAAGCCCCAGUAAACGGCGGCCGUAACUAUAACGGUCCUAAGGUAGCGAAAUUCCUUGUCGGGUAAGUUCCGACCCGCACGAAAGGCGCAACGAUCUGGGCACUGUCUCAACGAGAGACUCGGUGAAAUUAUAGUACCUGUGAAGAUGCAGGUUACCCGCGACAGGACGGAAAGACCCCGUGGAGCUUUACUGCAACCUGAUAUGGAAUGUUUGUACCGCUUGUACAGGAUAGGUAGGAGCCGAAGAGACGUGUGCGCUAGCAUACGAGGAGGCAAUGGUGGGAUACUACCCUGGCUGUAUGACCAUUCUAACCCGCCACGCUUAGCGCGUGGGGAGACAGUGUCAGGUGGGCAGUUUGACUGGGGCGGUCGCCUCCUAAAGAGUAACGGAGGCGCCCAAAGGUUCCCUCAGAAUGGAUGGAAAUCAUUCGCAGAGUGUAAAGGCACAAGGGAGCUUGACUGCGAGACUGACAAGUCGAGCAGGGACGAAAGUCGGGCUUAGUGAUCCGGUGGUUCCGCAUGGAAGGGCCAUCGCUCAACGGAUAAAAGCUACCCCGGGGAUAACAGGCUUAUCUCCCCCAAGAGUCCACAUCGACGGGGAGGUUUGGCACCUCGAUGUCGGCUCGUCGCAUCCUGGGGCUGUAGUCGGUCCCAAGGGUUGGGCUGUUCGCCCAUUAAAGCGGCACGCGAGCUGGGUUCAGAACGUCGUGAGACAGUUCGGUCCCUAUCCGUCGCGGGCGCAGGAAAUUUGAGAGGAGCUGUCCUUAGUACGAGAGGACCGGGAUGGACACACCGCUGGUGUACCAGUUGUUCCGCCAGGAGCAUCGCUGGGUAGCUAUGUGUGGCAGGGAUAAACGCUGAAAGCAUCUAAGCGUGAAGCCCCCCUCAAGAUGAGAUUUCCCAUUUCUUCGGAAAGUAAGAUCCCUGAAAGAUGAUCAGGUAGAUAGGU
rnacentral:rRNA from 1 species